GUGCCAGCCGCCGCGGUAAUACCGGCAGCUCGAGUGAUGUCCACUAUUAUUGGGCCUAAAGCGUCCGUAGCUGGCCGUACAAGUUCGUCGGGAAAUCCACCUGCCCUACAGGUGGGCGUCCGGCGAAAACUGUGCGGCUUGGAACCGGAAGGCUCAGAGGGUACGUCGAGGGUAGGAGUGAAAUCCCGUAAUCCUCGACGGACCACCGAUGGCGAAAGCACUCUGAGAAGACGGAUUCGACAGUGAGGGACGAAAGCUAGGGUCUCGAACCGGAUUAGAAACCCUAGUAGUCC
rnacentral:rRNA from 1 species